AAAACCGGAGAGGCGCAUCUUGCCGGCUACGGUUGAAACCCGUUCACUGGGUGAUUCUGAAGCUAGAAGGGCAGCCGAAUGGCCUUCCCCCCGUCCUGCCCCUCGUCCACUGCUUUCAAAGACCCAGGAGCUGGAGAUUUAGGGAUGUGUCCAGGUUACCCUGGAAGAUCUGUGGGAUGAUGGAGCUUCUCUUCCUCUACACCUCUUUUGAGUCAUGUGAAAAAGCCAAGUAUCUUGCUUCUAAAUUCAUAUGUUUUUGAGAAACCUACAAAGAGAUCUGCACAAGAGAGAAAGUGAAAAUUUCACUCCAAGAUUUCUUCCCUUGGCAAACAACAGAAGGUUUAGGACAAGCCUUUUCUCUAAGUGCCUGUUGCUUUGUUAGCUCUGUUUUCCAAAGACAUCUGUGUUGUGGAUCUGGUCAGAAAGAGUGGGAAUUCAGUGACUUUACUAGUUCUGGAUGGGGAUUCCUAUGAGAAAGCAGUGAAAACACGGGUGGACUUGAAAGAGUUGGGUCAAAGUCAGAAGGAGCAAGGUUUGAGUGAUAAUAUACUUUCCCCUGUGAUGAAUGGAGGUGUGCAAACUUGGACCCAGCCCCGGCUCUGCUAUCUCGUGAAGGAGGGAGGCAGCCAUGGCUUCUCUCUGAAAACUGUCCAAGGUAAAAAGGGGGUAUACAUGACUGAUAUUACACCUCAAGGUGUGGCUAUGAGAGCUGGAGUUCUGGCUGAUGAUCACUUGAUUGAAGUGAAUGGAGAGAAUGUAGAGGAUGCCAGCCAUGAGGAAGUGGUUGAAAAGGUGAAGAAGUCAGGAAGCCGUGUCAUGUUCCUGCUGGUGGACAAAGAAACUGACAAGCGUCAUGUUGAGCAGAAGAUACAAUUCAAAAGAGAAACAGCCAGUUUGAAACUGUUACCCCACCAGCCCCGAAUUGUGGAGAUGAAGAAAGGAAGCAAUGGCUAUGGUUUCUAUCUGAGGGCAGGCUCAGAACAGAAAGGUCAAAUCAUCAAGGACAUAGAUUCUGGAAGUCCAGCAGAGGAGGCUGGCUUGAAGAACAAUGAUCUGGUAGUUGCUGUCAACGGCGAGUCUGUGGAAACCCUGGAUCAUGACAGUGUGGUAGAAAUGAUUAGAAAGGGUGGAGAUCAGACUUCACUGUUGGUGGUAGACAAAGAGACGGACAACAUGUACAGACUGGCUCAUUUUUCUCCAUUUCUCUACUAUCAAAGUCAAGAACUGCCCAAUGGCUCUGUCAAGGAGGCUCCAGCUCCUACUCCCACUUCUCUGGAAGUCUCAAGUCCACCAGAUACUACAGAGGAAGAAGAUCAUAAGCCUAAACUCUGCAGGCUGGCUAAAGGUACAGAAGGGCGGUCCUGCUGACUUGGCUGGGCUAGAGGAUGAGGAUGUCAUCAUUGAAGUGAAUGGGGUGAAUGUGCUAGAUGAACCCUAUGAGAAGGUGGUGGAUAGAAUCCAGAGCAGUGGGAAGAAUGUCACACUUCUAGUCUGUGGAAAGAAGGCCUAUGAUUAUUUCCAAGCUAAGAAAAUCCCUAUUGUUUCCUCCCUGGCUGAUCCACUUGACACCCCUCCAGAUUCUAAAGAAGGAAUAGUGGUGGAGUCAAAGCAUGACUCGCACAUGGCAAAAGAACGGGCCCACAGUACAGCCUCACAUUCUUCUUCCAAUUCUGAAGAUACAGAGAUGUGAUGAAAACAAGUAAUAGCUUUGGCUGUUUAUUUGAUAGCUGUUUCUGGGUAUUUAAUAGGAAUCCUUUCUCAAAGAAUGAGUUGCGACCUGUUUACUGUCUCUUUAGAAGAAAAACUCCACUGGAAACCAUUCACCAUGUGUGAUUGUCUUCUGUUAUCAUUUGUCUUACAGGCGGCUAUUGCAGACGGCUAAUUUAUGCUUAACUUAGGAAGAGAUAAGGCAAGAGCUAGAUUUUUUUCAUGUGAUCUUUUCCAAGCUUCAACUUAACUACAUUUCUCUGUAUGAUGAUGUCUCUUACUUCUACAGGUUCCUUGAGCACCAAAGAUGAUUCAUAACUCUGUAUAGGUGACAGCUGCUUAUAAAAGCAUCUUAGCAGAUAAGCCUAUUAAAAUUGUGCUUUUGUAACAAUGUUGUGGUUGCUAGAAUAAAUACCAUUAAC